rnacentral:rRNA from 1 species
UACGUAGGGGGCUAGCGUUGUCCGGAUUUAUUGGGCGUAAAGAGCGUGUAGGCGGCCAGGUAGGUCUGCUGUGAAAACUCGAGGCUCAACCUCGAGACGUCGGCGGAAACCAUCUGGCUAGAGUCCGGAAGAGGAGAAUGGAAUUCCCGGUGUAGCGGUGAAAUGUGCAGAUAUCGGGAAGAACACCCGUGGCGAAGGCGGUUCUCUGGGACGGUACUGACGCUGAGACGCGAAAGCGUGGGGAGCGAACAGG